GACUGGUCACUAUGACACACACUGACAACCAGGGGGCAGACGUUCAAUGCAGGAGCUACCCUCUUGUGGUCAGGGUGCUUUCACAUGGGAGGAGCUUUGCUCCGACACAAGUCAGGCUGGUG